CAAACACCAUUCCAGUAAUCAGGACAGCCUGAAUCACGCCGUGUUCCUGUACUGUGGUUAAAUUGCUAAAUAAUGUGCAACGUAGAAGAAUACGAUCACAUACCGAGCUGAUGAGUCAGUUAUGUGUGGAGGAUUUCUUUAAAAAGGUGGCCGUGGUGCACUAGUGCAUCCACAGCUUGAGAGCGUCAGUCGUUUCUUCCUUUUCCUUCUAGAGUUCAUUUCUUUCACUGUUAGCAAUCACAGGAGAUCAUGAAGGUCGCGCUCAUUGCGGUGUGUCUUAUUGGACUGGUCUGUGCUGUCCCUGUGGACGAUAAGCACGAGCGAGAGAAGCGUUCAUCCAGCGAAGAGAUGGUUCGUGGGUAUAGAAGACGGUUCCCAGGGUAUGGAACACAGUUCCCAGGGUACUGGCCAGCUUACUAUCCCAACAACAACAACAAUCUUCUGAAUGUUCUGCUGCCCUUUUUACUGCUGUCUCUGCGUCCCCCUACUGUCGCCACAAAUACGACUGUAGGAUGAGUAACACGCACGGUUCAAAUGUGUUUUAGGAUUAACACAUGAACAAAUUUCACCGUGAUUAUCAAUUUAAUCUGUUGUUAAACUCUCAGACUGCAAUGGCACAAUAAAAAUUUAUUGUCAAAAAA
ensembl:lncRNA